AGAGUUUGAUCCUGGCUCAGGACGAACGCUGGCGGCGUGCUUAACACAUGCAAGUCGAACGGAAAGGCCCCUUCGGGGGUGCUCGAGUGGCGAACGGGUGAGUAACACGUGGGUGAUCUGCCCUGCACUUUGGGAUAAGCCUGGGAAACUGGGUCUAAUACCGGAUAGGACCAUGGCAUGCAUGUGCUGUGGUGGAAAGCUUUUGCGGUGUGGGAUGGGCCCGCGGCCUAUCAGCUUGUUGGUGGGGUGAUGGCCUACCAAGGCUUCGACGGGUAGCCGGCCUGAGAGGGUGUCCGGCCACACUGGGACUGAGAUACGGCCCAGACUCCUACGGGAGGCAGCAGUGGGGAAUAUUGCACAAUGGGCGCAAGCCUGAUGCAGCGACGCCGCGUGGGGGAUGACGGCCUUCGGGUUGUAAACCUCUUUCACCAUCGACGAAGCCGCAAGGUGACGGUAGGUGGAGAAGAAGCACCGGCCAACUACGUGCCAGCCGCCGCGGUAAUAC
rnacentral:rRNA from 1 species